rnacentral:tRNA from 1 species
GGAUGGGUGACCGACGUGGUGAAGGUGGCAGUCUGAAAAACUGCAGAUAUUGGUUCGACUCCAAUCCCAUCCACCA